AACCUUUUUAGCUGAGCCGGCGAACUGCAAGAGUCGAUGUCGGGAAAACCAAUGGUGUAGUAACAAGCCAACAGACGUCACAUGCGUGAACAUGGACUGCCCAGACACACAUGGACCGACGUGUACAAUAGAGAAUCCACGACCAUUCGCCGCGCAAAUACGGGAAUUUGGUGCGUUUUCCGCUGAUAUAGUCUGGGAGGCAGGAACGCAGAGUGGAAUUGGCAUCAUUAAAGAAUAUGUCGUACUCGUGCAGACCGAAGGAACCGCCGCGCCGGUAGAAAAAUGCAUGCAACCAAACCGAGUGGGCGAAACGACGAAGUUGUGCAUGCUACGUUCUAU